rnacentral:rRNA from 1 species
ACGCACGCUGGCGGCGUGCUUAACCCCUGCAAGUCGAACGCUGAAGCUUGGUGCUUGCACUGGGUGGAUGAGUGGCGAACGGGUGAGUAAUAAGUGAGUAACCUGCCCUUGACUCUGGGAUAAGCCUGGGAAACUGGGUCUAAUACUGGAUACGACAUGUCACCGCAUGGUGGUGUGUGGAAAGGGUUUUACUGGUUUUGGAUGGGCUCACGGCCUAUCAGCUUGUUGGUGGGGUAAUGGCUCACCAAGGCGACGACGGGUAGCCGGCCUGAGAGGGUGACCGGCCACACUGGGACUGAGACACGGCCCAGACUCCUACGGGAGGCAGCAGUGGGGAAUAUUGCACAAUGGGCGGAAGCCUGAUGCAGCGACGCCGCGUGAGGGAUGACGGCCUUCGGGUUGUAAACCUCUUUCAGCACGGAAGAAGCGAAAGUGACGGUACGUGCAGAAGAAGCGCCGGCUAACUACGUG